CACGUAGGAGACGAGCGUUAUCCGGAUUUACUGGGUGUAAAGCGCGUGCAGGCGGUUCAGUAAGUUGGAUGUGAAAGCUCCUGGCUUAACUGGGAGAGGUUGUUCAAGACUGCUGGACUAGAGGAUGGCAGAGGGGAGUGGAAUUCCGAGUGUAGCGGUAAAAUGCAUAGAUAUUCGGAAGAACACCAGUGGCGAAGGCGGCUCUCUGGGCCAUAACUGACGCUCAGACGCGAAAGCUAGGGUAGCAAACGGG
rnacentral:rRNA from 1 species